GCUGGACCUAGAUGACCUCUAAGGUCAUAUCAACUUGAAUACUUUCCUAUGACUCCAAGAAAUGGUGACAGAACGCUAAAUUCAGUAAGUAAACCCACCUGUUAAAGAAGUAAUGCUGUGGAUUAGAGAAUAGGAUUAGAAAAUGAUAAAAAGAAGAGACAGGGGUUUGGAACUUUGGCCUGGAAAAUAAAAAUUAGUAGAAUGACCAUAAAGACUGGGAAAAGGGAAAGAAAAGAGCAGGCAAGGAGGAAAAUCAAGAUAAAAAAUAAUGCUAAGCUUGGGCAUCAAGAAGGUAAUUUUCAAAAAGUUUUAUUUAAUCUUUCAAGAAAUGUUUAUUGAGCUUUCCAAGUAUCAGGCCUUACUUUAGGUAUUUAAGUUGUAGUUGCUUUCAAAAACUCUCUUUCUUCAUAGAGCUUACAUUCUAGGCUGGGGAAUUCAGGCAAUAAAUAGGAUAAGCAAGUAAAAUGUAUGGUAUGUUGGAUAAUGAUAAGUGGUUAGCAGAGGAAUGAAGUGGGGUCGUGUGGGUAGAGCAUGUAACAUCAGGUGGACUGGGCCAGGAAGACUUUACCGAGUAAGGAUCUGAAGAAAGUGAAGUGAAUAAGCUAUGGUUAUUUUGCUUCCUAGUUCAUGGGGGAAAUGAAAGCACUCAGAAGAACAGUCCAGGCAGGGAGACUAGCAAGUUCAAAGCUUCAUAGAUGGGAGCAUGCCUGAUAUAUUCAAGGAAAGGCUAGGAAACCAGUAAAGCUACAAUGGGAUAAAUGAAGAGGAGGAGAGAAGGAGGGGAGAUGACAAAAAAGACUUUGGAAGAUGUUAAGCAGAGAGUGCCAUAUGACAUACUUGAAUAUGAUAAUUUUAUUGCUGUUUCAACAGAAUCUAAAAAAGAGCAAGGACAGAAAAAGGAAGAGCAGCAAGGAUGCUACUGCACCAACCCAGGUCUAAAAGAAUGGGACUUGAUCCUCUUGACACCAUUUGGAAGAUCAUGUUUAGAAGAACUACAAAAACUAUGCUGGGCUUGUACAUGUCUCAGGACAUAAAUAUGGUUUUCAUAAAGCCCAGAUUGUAUUCCAAAAUAGCCCAUAAGUCCAACAACAGGUGUUAUAUAUUGUACCCUUUUUAAGCACUUUACUUUGAAGAGGGAUACAAAUGAGAGCUUCUGAUGAGAUGACUAGGGAUCUACUGGGCCAGCAUGUCUUGAAGAUGGAGCUUGCUCAUGUGAAUGGCUCAGCAGAUGCAGUGAACUCACAUCCCACUGGAGGCCAUCGCAUGGAGGGGGGUAGCUGUGCCAAUGUUCAUGUGAAGAGGACACUGGGAAUUGAAGGAGAUCUACCUUUGGUCUGUUCACUGUG
rnacentral:lncRNA from 1 species